GCGGGCGUUGUUUAAUGGUAGAACGACUGCCUUCCAAGCAGUAAGUCCGGGUUCGAUUCCCGGCGCCCGCA
rnacentral:tRNA from 1 species